rnacentral:lncRNA from 1 species
AUCAUCAUAUGAUUGGUUUUAGGGCACAUUUCCAACACCACGGCUGCUAGAAAAUUUAUCAAUUUUGCUAGUUGUUUAUCAAUUUUUCUAGAAAUUUUAAUAAACUUGUUUCCUUCACUUUUCUCCAUCUUUGCUUAUUUUGUUCAUACUCUAACCUUUAGACUUUAUAGGCCAGUGGUAGGCAUGCUGCUUUUCUAUAAGCAAACAAGCCUGCGUAGCCUACACAGCCGUAUGUGUUAGUAUAGAACUUUUGCAAUGUUGUUCGCCAUAGGGUUGGCAGCCAGAUGCCUUACUUACAAAAGUAGACAAGUCCGCAUAACCACUAGGCUGUUAACCUUGGCUUUCUCCAAUUCCAUAGGUUGCGUAUCAAGUACCACAACACUUUAGGACUUGGCGUAGGUUGUUCCACACUUGGCAGUGGUGAAGCUUAUCGACUACGUAGCAUGUCGGCAAUGGAUAAGGCUUCAUAUAUGCACGCUAGCUUGUUUAACCUUUCACAAGAAUGUGCAGUUGCAUAAGCCUAGUGCGGCUUUAUUGCUCAAAGGGGAAGCCGUAGGUAGUAUUCCAAAAACCAUAGGCUACCUCAGUGCACUCAGUAGCAGCUUUAGGUUUCUAGGGUAGCCGUCCGUAGCGCAUUCUACGUAAUGUGCCCCUCCAUCUGUAAGGCCUGGUUCCCCGCGGAUUAGGCCAAAAGACCCAAAAUCUUUCAUUUAGCUAAGCCUUGAAAAAGAUCAUUAUGGCUACUUCUAGAAAUCUUGGCACAAGCCAUCUUGCAUCUAGUUAUACUAGGGUAGUCCGACUCAUCCACGUCUGGAUAUUCGAAGUGUAGAGUUUAUCCUCCCGCUUUGGAG